rnacentral:rRNA from 1 species
UACGAAGGGGGCUAGCGUUGCUCGGAAUCACUGGGCGUAAAGCGCACGUAGGCGGAUUGCUAAGUCAGGGGUGAAAUCCUGGAGCUCAACUCCAGAACUGCCUUUGAUACUGGCGAUCUCGAGUCCGGGAGAGGUGAGUGGAACUGCGAGUGUAGAGGUGAAAUUCGUAGAUAUUCGCAAGAACACCGGUGGCGAAGGCGGCAUCCUGGACCAAUAUUGACGCUGAGGAGCGAAAGCUAGGGGAGCAAACGGG